CCUACGGGAGGCAGCAGUGGGGAAUCUUGCGCAAUGGGCGAAAGCCUGACGCAGUCAUGCCGCGUGAAUGAUGAAGGUCUUAGGAUUGUAAAAUUCUUUCACCGGGGACGAUAAUGACGGUACCCGGAGAAGAAGCCCCGGCUAACUUCGUGCCAGCAGCCGCGGUAAU
rnacentral:rRNA from 1 species